CUUUGGCAAACAUUUCCCUCUGGGCCUGAGGGGUCUCCUCCUCCCGGGAGCCCGAGCCACGGGAGAGACCCCGCUGUGAAUUCCCGUGCUCACGGCUGCCUCUUUGGGAGCAAAAAUCAAGCCGUGCUUGACCGGGUUUGCCACUGACCCAGUUCAAUCAUCUUUGUUCUGAUUCCCGCUGAAACUACAAGAGCUGUCCAGUGCAGCCAGCAAAUGCCAUUUGUGAGAGGAACUGAAGAAGAGCACCUGUCCCAUAGAGAUUGGAAGAGGAAUUUGCAGACACAACCAACCAAUGGGCUGAUGUUUGGCAAGGAGAUGGAAUGCUUCCUUCCAGGCCACGCCAUCUUGCACAACAGCAGGUGGUUUGGAUUUUGGAGCUCUGCAUUCUCUGCAGGGUUUCUGACCACUAUUUAGCAUCAGACUAUUCUCUUGGCUGGACUCGGGUGUGAGACAAUGACCC